AUCCAGUGAUGUGAAUAAGCUGUAAAUAAUAUGGUCAAGUUUGUAUUCAUAAACCAAUAUUCAUUUUAAUGCAUAAAUAAGCUUGUAAUUGUAUAGCGACAAAGGGGUUAAAAUGUCUGAAAGAUCAUAUAAACUGUUCUGGCAAGAAAGUUGCAAAUCUCUGAAAGGGGAGCUGUCCUCCUUAUCUGCAAAGCAAGCUGCCCUACCAAGGAGAUAACGGGACAGCAGGAUGGCCUUGAGUAAAAUUAACAAGGAGUAUUCUAAAAUCCCUGGGAAAGAUUUCUACAAGUCUGCCAACUCAUCACUUUUGAGACCUAAGGUGAAAAGUACACCAUGAGGAAGACCUACGGCCUUCCUCCCAUAGACCACUGCCCACAUUCUAAAGACCCCGGCCCACAAUUUUUGGGAGAAUCUGCGCAAGCGUGAAGGACUGAUAAGCUAAUUAGCAUACGAAGCGAGGGUAGGCGGGUUCAGGUGAUGAAUAUGUAUAGGCGUUAAUGGAAUAUUCAUUGUUUCAUUAUAUAAAUAUAAGAUAAUCUGCCCCUCUGGGUGUGUACGAUUGGUGGAAGGAUCCCCCGUACACCCGGCGCCGACAAUAAAGAAUACUUAAUCACUAAGAAAUUCUGAAGACGUUCUUUGAAACAAUCUGGCGACCCAGAUGGGACAGCUCUCUGCCUGACCGUAGGACCCGCUGGGAAGUGGACUCCCUUGGGUACCCCCGGGAUUUUCCCGGAGGGACUCCCCAACUCAUCGGAUCACUGCGGAGGCAGACAAGAAUCCCAUCUUCUGUAAGUGAUAAUAUUCUUUAUUGCUGUAUUCUGGUAUUACCGGUAAUCUGGGGUUACCCGUAAGACGAGAAAAUUGAUUUCCGCAGGGUAACUUCUGGGUAUGCUUGGGAACUAGUUUCUCAGGUAUGCAUCUGGGUAUGCUUGGGAACUAGUUUCUCGGGUAUACAUCUGGUCUGGAAAACUCAGGUAUACUUCUGUGGCUGGCACCCUAAGUAUACUUCUGGUUUUGUUUGGGUUUUAUCAACAUUUAAUUGCCAUCUGGAAUCUGGCAAGUUUGCUUAUAAAGCUUAUUUGCUGCAGGGUUGCUUAUUUUGGUUACCGGAUUUAUGGAAUGUGGAAUUUGACUUUGAUAAUUGUUACUGUGAUUUCGGCUAUAUUUUUGAUAAUAAUAGUGAGCUCUUGGUGUUGCUGUAGAAAGAUACCUGC